GGUCAAGAAAAGGCUAAUGCGACACCUUACCGAGAACUGUUGCAAUAGAGUGCCCUAAUGCGACGGUGUCUUGUAUAACAUUUUAAACCCGGACUAAUGCAACGGUGUCUCUAAGCCGUUGCAAUAGAGGGUCAAAUGCGACGGCCUAUUAGGCUAAUGCAACGGCAUACCAAUUAAUAUUUGCCCGCCUUCUAUUACGUUAUUCCCUCCCAUUAUUUUCACAAAUUUUCAAAACCAACCCACUUGAAAUUUUCAAAAAAAAUAAAAGUAAAAAAUAAAAAACACACGCAAACACGUACAGACGUACUGCACUUUCCUUUUCUAAUUAUCUCGGAGAGAGAAAAUAGGUAGAUCGAUUUUCUUUACGUUGUUAGGGUUUCAUCAAAACUUUGGCUAAGUUUAACGAUUUGGUCUGCGAUUCACAAUUAGGCUCGAGCUUAAUUCGAAAUUCUUGCAACUGGCUGCGAAAUUCUCUGCGAAAUUCGAACGCGAAAUCAUCUGCGAAAUUUCCUCUCACAUCGCUGCUUGAAAUAGUGUGUUCGUCGAGUUGGAGGGUUGAAUUGGGGCUUUGCAUUCGAACAAGUUAGGAGGAGAAAUUCACGGAGCAUGGUGCGCUAAAUGGAGAAGAAAUGUAGAUCUAGCAAUAAGACGGUGGAGGCUCUUAUUUGUUUUGGGUCGUUUUGUAAUUCCUAGCUAGUAACGUUGAAUUUGUUUCUAUGGAUUUUAAUUUUAUGUACUUUUGUCAUUAAAAACACUAAAUUAAUUAGUGAACAACUAUUUUGUAAUGCAGGCAUCCUAUGGGCACUAAUAUUGUAAUAUUACUUUUCAAGUCAAUGAAAAUCUUUUGUUUUUAUUAUUA